AUACGUAGGGUGCAAGCGUUAAUCGGAAUUACUGGGCGUAAAGCGUGCGCAGGCGGUUUUGUAAGACAGAGGUGAAAUCCCCGGGCUCAACCUGGGAACUGCCUUUGUGACUGCAAGGCUAGAGUACGGCAGAGGGGGAUGGACAUCCGCGUGUAGAGGUGAAAUGCGUAGAUAUGCGGAGGAACACCGAUGGCGAAGGCAAUCCCCUGGGCCUGUACUGACGCUCAUGCACGAAAGCGUGGGGAGCAAACAGGAUUAGAUACCCUGGUAGUCCACGCCCUAAACGAUGUCAACUGGUUGUUGGGUCUUCAUUGACUCAGUAACGAAGCUAACGCGUGAAGUUGACCGCCUGGGGAGUACGGCCGCAAGGUUGAAACUCAAAUGAAUUGGCGGGG
rnacentral:rRNA from 1 species